GAAUUAAAUGGAUGAAAUAUGAAGUUUUAUUAAAAGAAAAAGGGGUGAAAAGAACAAAGUUUUGUCCAUCUUUGUUCAUCAUAGCUGAAAGUUAGAGAAGAGAAAGGAGAGGAGAAAGCUCUUGAGUAUCCGGUCAUUAGGAGGAGGAAAAUUGAAGGCGGUUCGUGUGUGGAUCUCGUCAUCAUAUCGUCACAAACAGGAAAUCCCCAACCAUAGUGGGCUUGGAGCUGUGAGGGAAUUCGAAGUGGCCACCCGUUUUGAAAGUUUGAUUUUCUUCUGGUGAGCUGGACAUCCUUUUAUUUACGUUUGAAGUUUUUGGGCUUUUAAAUGUAAUAAGGCCACUUGAUUAUUUUUGAUGGUUUUAAUAUGUAUUACUAAGACAGGUAAUACUUAUUUUAACUGUUGAAAUUGGAUAGCUUUAGGGCGCGUUUUCAGAAACAACAA